rnacentral:lncRNA from 1 species
GUCUUGCUAAAUUGACAAGGCUGGCCUCAAAUUUGCAAUUCUCCCGCCUCAGCCUUCUGAGUCACUGGACUCAGGUAUGUACAGAUGGGUACCACUGUGCCUGGUCAAAGAACCCUUCCCUCUCUGCUUCUAGUACUGGGCAUCAAACCCAGGGCCUUGUCCAUGCUAGGUAAGUGCUCUACCACUGAGCUAUAUUCCCAGCUCCUAAAAGUUUUAAAACACAUCCAGAGUUGUAACCCCAGUGAUUCAGGAGGCUAAUGCAGGAGAAUCACAAGUUUGAUGUCAUCCUGGCCAACUUAAUGAGAACCUUUCUCAAAAUAAAAAAAUAGGGCUGGGAUUGUGGCUCAGUGGUAGAGCGUGCACCUAGCAGAUGCAAGGCCCUGGGCUUGAUCCUCAGCACCACAUAAAAAUAAAUAAAAUUAAAGUAUUGUGUCCAACUACAACCAAAAAAUAAAUAUUAAAAAAAUAAAAGGACUGGGGAUGUAAUUCAGUAGUAAAGUUCAAUCUCCAGAACCAGGGGGGAAAAAAUAAUAUAUUAACUCUCUGCCACUAUUUAAUUCCAGAACAUCUGCCUCACCUCCCUUACCCCAAAACACCCAUAGCCAUAAGCAAUCCCUUCCUAUUUUCCCUUUUCAUCAAAUUCUGGAAACCAACCACUAAUUCUGUCUUAACGGAUUUCUCUAUUCUAGACAUUUUAUGUAAAUGGAAGCAUAAAUAUGUGGUGUUUUGCAUUUGGUUUCUUUUCCUUGCUGUCUUUAAGGUUCAUCCAUACUGUAGUACUUCUUUUUUUGGGGGGUUACUGGGGCACUUAACAACUGAGUUAUAUCCCCAGCCCUUUCUUAUGUUUUAUUUAAAUUUAGGGUCUCACUGAGUUGUUUAGGUCUCACUAAAUUACUGAGGCUGGCUUUGAACUCAUGAUACUUCUGCCUCAGCCUCCCAAGCAACUUGGAUCAUAGGCCUACACCACUGAGCCUGGCCUUCAUUCAUUUUCAUAGUUAAAUAAUGUUCCCUUGUAUAAAUAUACCACAUUUUGUUUAUCCAUUCAUUGGUUGGUGACCACUUGGGUUGUUUUACAUUUUGGCUAUUGUGAAUAAUGCCACUAUACAUAUCAGUAUAUCUGUUUGAUUGCCUGUUUUCAAUUCUUUGGGGUAUAUAUGAAGGGGUAGAAUUACUGGGUUAUAGAUAACUAUAAUAAAUUAUAGUUAUUAAUUUUCUGAGGAGCUAUCAGACUGAUUUCCAAAGUGGCUGAAUCAUUUUACAUUCCUACCAGGACUAUAUAUGGGUUCCAAUUUCUCCAUAUCAUCACUAACAUUUAUUACUGUCUUUUUGAUUAUGGUUAUCCUAGUGGGUGUAAAGUGGUCAUUUCCCAAGUAACUAAUGAUAAAUUAUUUUUUGGCUAUUUGUAUUUCUUCCUUGGAGAAAUGUCUAUUCAAGUCCUUUUGCCCAUUUUUUAGCUGACUUAUUUUUCUUUUUAGUUAUGAGUUCUUAUAUAUUUUAGAUAUAAAUCCCUUGUCAGAUAAUCAACUUGUUUUGAAAAAGGUGCAAAAGCAUUUCAAUGGCAGAAGGAUGGCCAUUUCAAUGAAUAAUGUUGGAGCAACUUCAAGUCCACAGGCGUGAAAAGCACAUACUACCUAAAUUACAAGUAAUGAGAAAAAAAUUUGAUAAGCUAGAGUUAAAUACUUUUAUUUUGCAAAAAGCCCUGUUAACAAAGUAGCAAAAUAUGAAGUCAAUACCCGUAAAUCAAAUACACUUCUAUACAUCAGCAAUGAAUCCUCUUUUUAAAAAUUUUUUUUUAAAGAGAGAGAGAGAAAGAAUUUUUAAUAUUUAUUUUUUUAGUUUUCGGCGGACACAACAUCUUUGUUUGUAUGUGGUGCUAAGGAUCGAACCCGGGGCUGCAUGCAUGCCAGGCGAGCGCGAUACCGCUUCAGCCACAUCCCCAGCCCAGCAAUGAAUCCUCUGAAAGAGAAAUUAGGAAAACUAUACCAUUCACAAUAGCCUCAAAAACAAACCAAAAACCAACAACAACAUCAAAAAAACUUGGGAAUCAAUUUAACCAAAGAGGUGAAAGACUGCUACAAUGAAAACUACAGAAUACUAAAGAAAGAAAUUGAAGAAGACCUUAGAAGAUGGAAAGAUCUCCCAUGUUCUUGGAUAGGAAAAUUAAUAUUGUCAAAAUGGCCAUACUACCAAAAGCACUAUUCAGAUUCAAUGUGAUUCCAAUUAAAGUUCCAACAUCAUUCCUCAUAGAAACAGAAAAAGCAAUCAUAAUAUUCGUUUGGAAAAAUAAGAGACUCAGAAUAGCCAAAGUAAUCCUUAGCAAGAAGAGUGAAGCAGGAGCCAUCACAAAACGACCUUAAACUAUACUACAAAGCUAUGGCAACAAAAACAGCAUGGUAUUGGCACUGAAAUAGACAUGUAGACCAAUGGUACAAAAAAGAAGACAUAAAGACAAACCUAGUUAUCUCAUAUGAGACAAAGGUGCCAAAACCAUACAUUGGAGAAAAGAUAGCCUAUUCCAAGAAACAGUGCUAUGAAAACUGGAAAUCCAUAUGCAACAAAAUGAAAUUAAAUCCCUAUCUCUCACAUGCACAAAACUCAACUCAAAGUGGAUCAAGGACCUAGGAAUUAGAUCAGAGACCCUGCGCCAAAUAGCAGAAAAAAAUAGGCCCAAAUCUUCAUCAUGUCAGAUUAGGCCCUGACUUCCUUAACAAGACUCCUAAAGCACAAGACGUAAAAUCAAGAAUCAAUAAGUGGGAUGCAUUCAAACUAAAAAGUUUCUUCUCAGCAAAAAACACAAUCAAUUAGGUGAAGGUAGAGCCUACAGAAUGGGAGCAAACUUUUACCACAUGCCCAAUAGACAGAGCACUAAUCUCCAGGAUAUAUAAAGAACUCAAAAAAAACUUUAACACCAAACAAACAAAUAGCCCAUUGGGCUAAAGAAUUGAACAGACACUUAUCAGAAUAAGAUAUACAAUUGGUCAACAAACAUGUGAAAAAGUGUUCAACAACUUUAGGAAUUAGAGAAAUGCAAAUCAAAAAUUCAUCUCCCUCCAGUUAGAAUGGCAGUUAUCAAGAAUACAAGCAACAAUAAGUGUUGGUGAGGAUGUGGGGAAAAGGCACACUCAUACAUUGCUGGUAGGACUGGAAAGUGGUGCAACCAAUCUGGAAAGCAGUAUGGAGCUUCCUUAGAAAACUUGGAAUGGAACCACCAUUUGACCCAGCUAUCCUACUCCUCAGUCUAUACCCAAAGGACUUAAAAACAGCAUACUAUGGGGAUGCAGCCACAUUAAUGUUUAUAGCAGCACAAUUCCCAACAGCUAAACUGUGGAACCAACCAUGCCCUUCAAUAGAUGAAUGGAUAAAGAAAAUGUGGUAAAUAUACACAAUGGAGUAUUACUCAGCAUUAAAAGAGAAUAAAAUUCUGGUAUUUGCAGGCAAAUGAACGGAGUUGGAGAAUAUCACACUGAGUGAAGUAAGCCAAUCCCAAGAAACCAAAGGCUGAAUGCUUUCUCUGAUAAGUUGAUGCUGAUCCACAAUGGGGGCGGGGGCAUGGGAUGAAUGGAGGAACUUUGGAUUGGGAAGGUAAGGGCGGGUAAUAAGGGCAGGAAAGAUGGUGGAAUGAGAUAGACAUAAUUACCCUAGGUACAUGUAUGAUUGCAUGAAUGGUGUGACUCUACUUCACGUACAACCAGAGAAGUGAAAAAUUGUGCUCUAUUCAUUUACAAUGAAUAGUAGUGUAUUCUGCUGUCAUGUAUAACUAAUUAGAACAACAAUAACAACAACAACAACAAAAAAGCCCUGUUAAGAUGAAAAGCUGGGAGAAUAUAUUUGCAUACCUUUUUAUUUUAUAGAUUUAUUAUGAUUGAGUUAUAUGAGUUCAGAUACAGACUUGCAAAUAUUUUCCUCCCUAUGGGUUGUCCUUUCACUUUCUUGAUAAUGUCUUUUGAAGCAUAAUAGUCUAAUAUUUUGCUAACUUCAAUUUAUCUAUUUGUUUCCUUAGGUUGCAUGUACUUUAGUUGUUAUAUCUAAGAAUCCAUUGCCUAAUCCAAGGUAAUGAUGAUUUAUAUACUUAUGUUUACUUCUGAGAGUCUCAUAUUAUUAAGUGAUAUAUUUGCCUUGAUACAUUAAGACAAAUGAACAGAGAAAAUAAAAAUAACCUAACUAUAUGCUGUCUAUAAAAAAACUUACUUCAAAUAUAAUUAUAUAGGUAGACUAAAGAUAAAAGGAUAGAAAGAGACAUACCAUACAAACAUUAACUAAAAGGAAGCUGGAGUCACUAUAUUAUCAAAGACUUUGAAGCAGGACCAGGUGCAGUGGUGCAUGCCUACAAUUCUAGAGCCUGGGGAGGCUGAGACAGAAGGAUCGUGAGUUUGAAGCCAACCUCAGCAACCACAAGGCAGGUGCCAAACAAUUCAAUGAGGCCCUUUCUCUAAAUAAAAUACAAAACAGGGCUGUGGUUCAGUGGUUGAGUGCCCCUGAGUUCAAUCCCUGGCAAUCCCUCCCCGCCAACACACACAAUAAAAAGACACUGAAGCAAAGAAAAUUAUCAGGGAUGAACAGGGAUCUUGAUAAAAGGGUAAAUCACCAAGACAUAAAAAUCCUAAAUGUGUAACAGCCUAA